rnacentral:rRNA from 1 species
AUGGCUAAUGUUACAGAAUGCUCCCAUUCUGCGGUAACGAAUUUUAUUCGGGGGGUAAAUGCACAGUUGUGGCGCUCCAAUACGCUCAUGGCUGCCAACGCCGUACUUGUCCUGAUCAUGGUAGCGAUCAGUGCCUCUGGGCGGCACUAUCGUCAAGUUGGAGUGACCCGCUUCGUCUUCCAAGGAGCCACAGUACUGUACCUUCCCAUCAUCUCCUAUGUUGUCUCCUCCAUUGGCAAGUACAACACAAGAGGCCUGGAUAUGUAUUGCUAUGGCGAGUACAACGUAGUCAUGCUCCUAAUUUGGGCAGUUCUUGUUCAAAUUGUUGGAACCAAUACAAGUGCAACUGUCGCUAUUGAUGAUGAUGAUGGUCAGAAGCUCGGCCCCUCAAUCGAGUUACUCGCUCGUGCAGUCUGGACAUCAUAUCUUGUGUUCUACUAUUUACAUCAUCAUUAUUUGAUUAUGCCAUCCAUCACCUUCCACUAUAAAUCCUUCAUCCAACGUCACUACCUUUGGAACUUUCUCAUUGUCUUGUGUGUUCUUAGUUUUGCAAAAAUUACGCUCAAGUUCUAUGCAUUUGAGAAAGCAAGAAGAUCUUUCGCUCUUGGUCGGAACUCUCGUCUUGUUGCUGGAUAUAUGGAACAAUUAUUAGGAGAGAACCAUCAAGGAUCUGAAAAUGAGUUGAUUCCACCACUUAUUGUGAUGGGCGAAGAGAAACAGGAAAUUGAGGAAACGCCUCAUGGGUAUACUAUCAAGCAGAGGAAGAAUAGCUUGGUCACCAUUAAUAAAGUUUGGCAAAUGGCGGACAACAAUGACAUCCUUCUGGCACGUCGACCAUGGCUUACAAAUUUAUGCCUUUCAUUUGCAUUAUUCAAACUGCUUAAACAUCAGUUUGCAAAGUGCCACCUUGUCGUACUUGGCUCUACCAAGGCGUUCAAUUUUGUUCUAAAUGUACUUCUUAACAAGAGAAAUCCAGAGACGGUAUUCAGAGUCAUUGCAAAUGAGGUAUCCUUUAUACUCGAUUCUUAUUAUUCAUCCCUCCCAACUUCCAACUUUGGGCGAUUGCUGCCAGUUCUUAACAUCAUCGUCUCCCUCUCAAUUAUAACAUGGUGCUUGCUCGCCAUGGCAAAGACAGCAUAUCUAUCUGAUCCAUCUGUGACCCAUCAAAUAUAUUGUGAACCUUCAUGUGUGUUGCCCAUGGAGAACCGGUUCUACUCUAAUUAUAACCAGUUGUACCUCGGCAACAUACUUUUUAACUCAUUGCCCACAUAUUCCCUAUUUGUAGUAGUUAUACUUGCCGAGGCAUGGGACAUCAUAUCCUACUUCUGCUCCAACUGGUUCAAGGUAACCCUGCUUUGUAGCUAUGUAACCCAUGUCUCUUGGCAGCAGUCUCCUUGUAUGCAGAGAUUGCUUGCUCUUGUUCUGCCAUUCAAGAUCAAGUUCAUAAAGAAUUAUUGGACUGAUAAAAUGGGUCAAGCAUCGCUACCAGCACAACCACAGCCAAAAAAAUGUGUCUUUACCCAACCAUUCUUUUACUUCUUUGGUCUGAGGCCGAGGUUACAGCAUGUCAAUGUAUCAUCAGACGUGAAGGCCUCCAUUAUUGACACCUUGAAAAAUAGCAACAAUUGCCUGAGCAAAGGCACCACUGCCCUCCUGAAUAACGGGAUAGGCAAUCAUGUCCUCUGGGCAUGCGAAGAACAAGACACAUCCCAUGUUAUCCUUGUUUGGCACAUCGCCACCGGCAUCUUCGAGGCCAGGUAUGGAGCUUCAACCGGUUGCUCGGCCGAGAAGAACACCACAAUGCAUUUGUCAAGGUAUUGUGUCUAUCUGAUGGAAUCCACUCCUGAACUAUUGCCACCUGAUAAGGCAUGGUCCAAGAAAUUGUACAAGAUCGUGAGCGAAGAUAUCAAACGUGCUCUCCCCGGUGGCAGCAUGUCGGUAGAAUAUGGCAGCAUGGUAGAACUCCUUGGUGGGGAGUCCAGGCAUGAGGUGGUGAAUAAAGGAGCGAGGCUAGGAAAGCAACUGGUGGAGCUAGUUCAAGAUGAGGAGACAGGGUGGCACAUCUUGGCUAGCUUUUGGUCCGAGUUGAUCUUGUAUGUUGCUCCCUCUCAUAACAUCAAGGCGCAUAAGAAGGCACGUGCCAAUGGUACCGAGCUGGUGACGCUCAUCUGGGCCUUGCUGAGGCAUGCCGAGAUUGACAGGCCAAACACCCAAGCCGUUGUUUAG